UGAUUGGCUGUGUUUUUUGCCUGCUCUUUUGUUUCAGCGCUCCGCUUGGUCUUUCCCCCGUUCGCUCUAUUCACCCGCUAAACGCUAGUGCUAAGAGCUGCUGGAAAGCUGCCUGUACAGCCAUUAUAGGGCCCUGGCAUAUUUUAUUUAGACUUCAUUUAGGGGUUUGAUAAAGUCUGUCUGUAGGUGCAGAAUGUACAGCUUCAUGGGAGGAGGGCUGUUUUGUGCAGGAGUGGGCAAUAUACUCCUGAUUGUUUCCACAGUAACAGAUUACUGGAUGCAAUACCGUCAUUCAAACAACUACAUGCAUCAGGGGCUGUGGAGAUACUGCAUGCCCGGAAAAUGCUUCACGCACACCGACAGCAUUGCAUACUGGGAUGCUACACGAGCGUUCAUGAUCUUGUCUCUGUUGGUCUGCUUUUUUGGCAUCAUCAUCGGUAUUAUGGCCUUCAUCCACUACUCAUCCUUUGACAGGUUUGAUAAAACCUUUGCUGCAGGCAUUCUGUUCUUCGU